rnacentral:lncRNA from 1 species
CGGGGGGGUCGGUGCGUGGGCGGGGCGGGAGCUCUAGGCGGUUAGGAGUCGGGGCUCAGAUGCGGGGGCGGGGCCGGAGCGAGGCCGGGUAUCACCCGGGAGUGGAGGAAGUGCGGGGGGUUCGCGGCGCGGGGAGGGUGAUCCCGGGAGGACUUGCGCGGCGCGUGGGGCGGGGCACAGAUGCUCCCCGGCCUGGCUCCGAGUAACUGCGAGCUGGAGGCGCGGCUGCUCUCUCGGGCGGACCUCAGCUCUGCGAACCCUGUGGCUGCCGGAGCACUGAGCGCCCUGCCCGGAGUCCCGCGGAGCCUGGCGAGGAGGGGUCGCUGCAUCCCGAGGGCCAGCCCUGAGCCGGGAGGUCAAACGGUGUAAACUUUGCUGGAAGGAACCUUACUCAGAGGGCCAAUCACCUGCUUCUCUAGAGUUCUCAAGCUCUCCUGUGAGCACCAGGUUGAGCUGCAGAAAGCCAGAACCAGCUCAGAAACUGAGAAAUGGACAUGAAGAUGCCCAGGUCUGCAGAUGGUUUCCAUUCUGAAAAGUGAUAGUCCCAAGGGGGACUGGCAUGCAGUCAUUCAUUCAACAAUUGUGCUCCUACUCUGUGAAGUAUUGGGGAUACAGUGCUGAGCACAGACAGACCUAGUCUCUGUCCUUUGCACCUUUCAGUGAAGGAUAGGAGGUAGACAUUGAUGCAACAAGCACCCGAGUAAAUGUAAGACCAUGCAGUGAUAAAGGCCGUGGAGGAAGGGCCCAUGCAGGGGCAGAAAACAGAGGAAGGGGCUGGUGGAGCAGCUCCUCUAGCUCAAGGCUGAGUGGUAUAAACUGUAGCUACUGCAUGAUCUGAACGUGUCUUAAGGAGGGUAUCCCCAAAGCGGGCUCAUUGGGAGUUACUGUGGAGCGCUAGUUUAUUGUAAUUGCCAUAUGUUUAUAAGUAAUGGAAUCCUAGAAUUAGAAGGAACUUCGGUCACCUUUUAAUUUAAUAUUUAUCUUUCUCAAUCCAGGAAACAUCUCUACAGCAUCCCUAACUGGGGGUUGAUCCAUUCAUUUCCAGACACAGAGAACAGAGUCACAUUCUGCUGUUUCCAUAUGUACCAUUUUAGUAAGACUUCUUGGGGCACAAGGCAGGAAGUUGGGGACAAUAUAUUUGUCUGCACCAAGGCAGCCUGAGAAGAGAGAAGUGAAUACUCCUGGGGUUAUUCUAUAUUAUUCACUUAAUAUUCUAAGUGAGUCCUCUAGGGGUACCUGAGACAUGGAGUAUGAAAGUACACAUUCACAAAAGUACCAGCUUUAAAACUAGAUUAUCUCUACUAUUCAAAAACACCAAGGAAAGGCCACACAAUGGAGACAAAGUGCAUCUGAGAUCUAGCAAAUUUCCCUGUUGGCCACAUACUGAUAAUGAUGUAUUAAAAUCAAUUCUAUACUGUGGGGUACUUAUUUGACAUUAAUAGGUACCAUGGUGGUUUAACAUAGUUGCUGCCCAGAGAAAACGCCGCACACUCACCUACACUAAAAUGAAGUCUGAGUCAGCUGCCUCCCCUCCGCCAUCCCUUCCAAAGCCAAUGGUUGAAAGUCACAGAAGUCCCUCUGCUGCCACCUAGUGACGACAAUGUGAAUACAACUACACAGCCUCCUGGGAAAGAAGUUUUGAACCACGUUUGCUUCUAAAGGAAGCCUGUAAUUACCUCUGAGUGCUCUAUUUUGGCUACAAUUUAAAAACAUAUAUAUUUUAAAACUCUAUAAACUCUUAUGCAUAUCCCUUUUUAAGAAUCUGACCUGUAAUGGAUGUAGCCUCACUUUCAAGAACCUAAAAGCUAUGCCCCCAAUUCAGGGAGUAGAACAGACAGGCUUAAGAACAGUGCCUAAAAAUGCCACUAAAUUUAUCUUUAAAAUGCCUGUGGUUCCUUAGCACUUGAAUUCCGUUAUGCCCCUGGGUAUAGUCACCUGGAUGUUAGGGGCUGUCAAAAUUCAGCCCUCAGUUGGUGAUCAGUAGGUUUUCCCUUUAAGUGGUUUCUGAAAGGAUUUUUUUUAAAAAUCUUGAAAUUCUCAUGUCUGGAUGAUGUUUCCAGUUUUGUGGAAGAAUAAAAGAAAAGGGACAUGAAAUUCUGGCUCCCUGGGGGCAGUGGCUGUGUCUUAUUAAUCUCUGUGCCCAUUGUACCAACACCGGUCAGUCACAGCAUGUACUCAACCAAUGCUGAUGAAUGCAGAGGGGCGAGGGGCUGGCACGCUCUUGACCCCUUAUAGGGGCUGCGUCGAUGGCCAGGGUUCAAUGGGAACUUUCUGGUACAGUCUUGCUCUGCCAAUCUUUCAAAUUAAGUGCAGCACAAUUGGAAGCCUCACAUUCUCAUAGACGGGUUGAGGAGGGCAUUAGGGGCAGAAAGGCUCACAUAAGGCCUGAGCGUGAGGUUUCCUGCCCAGCACUGCUGUGCCAUUGCAGCCCACCUUCUUCUCACCUUUCCUUCCACACCACGGCGCGGCAGGUGCAGAAACCGUGCUGGGAUUGAGGCCCUAGAGGCUGACUACAGGUCUUGGGGGCAAAACAUCUGGACACACAGCUGAAGAUGAGCCAAGUAUAUUAGUCAGGGUUCUCUAGAGAAACAGAACCAACAAGAUAGAGAGAUGCAGAGAGACAGAGGGACAGACAGACAGAUUUAAGUAACUGACCCAUAAAAUCUUGGAGGCUUGGCAAGUCCAAAAUCUGCAAGAUGGAAGUGGGCUGGCACAUUGGAGACUCAAGGAAGAGUUGCACGUUGAGUUCAAAGGCCGGCUGCUGGCAGAAUUCCUUUCUGCUCAGGUGAAGUCGGUCUCUGUUCUAUUAAGACCUUCAACUGAUUGGAUGAGGUCCACCCAUAUUAUGAAGGGUCAUUUGCUUUACUCAACAUCUACUCAUCUAAAUAUUAAUCUCAUUGAAAAAAAACCCCAGAAACAUCCAGAAUAGCAUUUGACCAAAUGUUUGGACAAUGCAGCCUAGCCACAUUAACACACAAAAUUAACUGUCACAGCAAGACACCAGGGAAGCAUUGGAAGAUGUUAGCGGCUGUCAUUGAAAUGGGUGCCGUCAGGUGGACGGCAGCCAUCCAUCGGGCAAGAGCGGGGCAGCUGGAAGGGCCCUCCCCUCCCGUUUGCUUUCUGCUCUUCACAGCUCACGGAUAGAGGAAUUUUCUCAGCACAUUUCCCAGGAGGAGUUUGGCACCACCAUUUCUUGAAAACAGAUGUCUGCAGGGAUGUGUGUGUGCCUGUGAAUAUGAAGUCCAGAGCCUGGGACUGAGAACAGCAAGGGGAACAGGUGGCCACAGGGGAGUUGCCAGAUUGCUGACUUAAGAUGUGCUCCCAGGGCUGCACUGGUGUCGGUCGUGAGAGCGAUCACGGUUUGUGCAACGUCUGAACUUUCUAUCAACUUAUGGUUUAAUCAAUUUGCUGUUUACUCCAGCUAUUUGCAACCUCUCCUCAGUUACUUGGUGUUCAGCAGUGUAAUAUAUCUUCAUGUGUGAAUAUAAAUAUACUAUUUAGUGGAAACUAAAAGGAAUUGUGGAGGAAGAAUUUUUUUGGAUAAUUUUAUGUUUUCAUAAUGUAAAAAUUAAAGAUAUUUGAAGAGUUGAGUAUGUCAGUUUUGGGGAUGCAAGAGAAUGACUUCGGGACUACCAUAAUAUUUAAAAUCAUCACUACUCUUUCUUUCCACCUAAGUCUCAUAGCAAAAGAGGAAAUUUACUUCAGUCUCUUUCUGUAGCAGAACAUUAUCGUGCUGUAUUCCUGUGUUCACUUAUCUGCGCUGGAUUGUGAGUCCUUACAGAGAGAAAUUGUUAUGUGCUAUGUUCCCAACACCUGCACAUUAUAGGUGGUCACUAAGUGCUUGAUGAAUAAAUGAAUGAGGGAAUAAUAUUGUUUAUUAUUUUUUGCUGUUAUUUAUAAUUGGGAGUGGGUAGGAUUUGGAUUAUGAAGACUCUGGGAAGCCUCAUAAGAACCUCAGACUCACUGGGCACGGUGGCUCACACCUGUAAUCCCAGCACUUUGGGAGGCCGAGGCAGGCGGAUCACGAGGUCGGGAGAUCGAGACCAUCCUGGCUAACACGGUGAAACCCGGUCUCCACUAAAAAUACAAAAAACUAGCCAGGUGUGGUGGCGGGCGCCUGUAGUCCCAGCUACUCCAGAGGCUGAGGCAGGAGAAUGGCCGUGAACCCAGGAGGCGGAGGUUGCAAUGAGCCGAGAUCGCACCACUGCACUCCAGCCUGGGCGACAGAGCAAGACUCCAUCUCAAAAAGAAAAACCUCAGACCAGACUCAACGUGUCCAAAAAAGAGCUCACCUUGUACCCCUAGAUCCUGAAGCGGCUUCCAGUAGCUCAACCUCCUCCCAUCCAGUUCCAUCUCUGCCAGGGAUCUUUUAAAAAUGCAAAUCUCAUUAUGUCUCUUUCCUGCCUCAAACCUCCCAGUGGUUCUCCAGUCUGUCAGGAGAGGGUAUAGACUGUGGCCUGGCCCGGGAAGUUCUUUGAGGUCAACCCCUGCCUACUCAUCUUGCUAACUCUUAUGGCUCUCUGACACUAGGCUUUUGCUCCAAUCAUAUAAGCAACUGUAUUUCCAUAAAAUUGCAAUGUUCUUCCCUACCUCCUCACUUAACUAAUUUUCACUUUACUGAUCAUUUCUUAUUUUACUAUCAGCGUCUCUUUCUCCUUAUUCUUCAGGGAACAUUUCUCUCCACCAUCCUGUGCCACACUGUGGGGGUGUCAGUAACACCCUCUGUCCUCUCCUGGCCAAAGGAAAGGGGUGUCAUUCAGCCCAGGCCCCUGGAUCCUCAUCUUGGGAUUUGGAAAUGUGACCGAAGUGACAUAAAAAAAAGACAUGAAGUGCGAGGAGCUCAUUCAGUCAGCUCUGCAGCUCCAGCUGGGUUACCUGUGAGUCCUUGCUAGCCAGAUCCCUUGAUUUGCCGUGACUCCUGCCUUUGCCAAGUCUGUCUUCAUAGAUUCUUUCAAAUGUGGUUCCAUCUUGCCUGAGUUCGUCAGAGCCAGAUUCUGUGCUGUAAUAAAAAACCCCAAAUCAACUCACCUCUCACCCUCCACAAUGCAGCUUCUGGAAGAUUCCAGAUGCCCCAGCCUGACUGAGAAUUCUCUCUCCUCUGCUCUCAAAGUCCCUUUGGGUGCUUCUACCAAAGCACUGACAGCGUGAUUCUGAUUUGAUCGCUGGUGUCUGAGAGCUGUGAACGUCUUGAUGGUUUUGGCGCCCAGCACCAUUCCUGCCUCAUAAUUGGCACGUGAUAAAGGCUUGUCGCAUUCCCUCAUUCAAAAUAAACAUAGAAGACAAUCCAGAGAUUGCAGCUUCACAGAAAUCACAGAAGGAAAUUUAUAUUUAUAGAGACGGCAUAUAAAAUUUUAAAACAAUUUUAAUGAAAAUCUUGAAAAUAGACAUUCUCUUCUUUAAACAACAUAAACUGAACAAACUCAGUCUGUUUUGGUGCCUCUGUGAGUACCCUCGGUUGCUCUGGGCUGCUGUGCGAUGCUGACCGGGACUUCCUCAGAGGCCUCAUCUUCUGCAUCCAGUGGACUUGCAAGCCACUUUACACUUCCUGGGUGAUAAGGUUUGGAUUUGUGUCCCCGCCCAAAUCUCACGUGGAAUGUCAUUCCUAAUGUUGGAAGAGGGGCCUGGUGGGAGGUGAUUGGAUCAUGGGGGCAGAAUUCCCUCUUGCAGUUCUCUUGGUAGUGAGUUCUCACAAGAUCUGGUUGUUUAAAAGUAUGUAGCACCUCCUGCUUUCGCUGUCUUCCUCCUGCUCCCGCCAUGUAAGACGUGGCCUCCUUUCCCUUCGCCUUCCGCCAUGAUUGAAAGUCUUCAGAGGCCUCCCCAG